AAGACAGAAACUUAGCAGCUGAGAGGAAGAAAUACCGUUCAGGGGACGGUUGGCCCCGCCUGGGUGCUUAUUGCAGUUUGCUCCUCCUCCUGAAUUACCAGUACUUCCGCGUGCUAUCCACACAGCCAGGCAGUGAUCUUUUGGAUAGGUGUGGCUGACUGGACAAAUGGGUAGAACGCCUGACUUACCACAGCUCCCAAUGCCACUCGAACAAAUGAAGAGGUGUUGGAGAGACGGGAAAGAUGGAGGAGCAAGAUUCUAGAAGUCUGAACCAACACUGGCUACUGAGUCAUGCUGAACCGGAUCUUCUUCCUUCACAUGGAUGCUGGCCUGGGUGGUCACAGAGAACCCACUCUUCGUUUCGCUAAUAAUCAUGAUCAGAGCAGUCACAAUUUGUUCAUAUCUAUUUCUCUUAAAAUAAUCUUACUUGAGGCAUACUCCUUAAGCAAAGAGCCCAGAGAUGUUAAAGUUGACAAAACAUUGAAAGCAAAUAUUUGAAUUUUAAAUGGCAAGUUGACAUUUCUCUGACAACCAAACCAGAAUCCACAUCACUGAAGAGAAAACGGACCAGUAAGUCAACAGCAGACAAUGUUGAAUUAUCACAGCUGUGUACUGGGUGUGAGCUAUGGGAAAUGGGACACACCAAUUGCUGAGUCAAAAUAAGGUUAUUUUCUCAGCGUCAGUCCACGAAUAAAAAGCUGAAAUCCACUUACCUAAUUUGUGUCAAUGUAGUGAAAAUUAAUCACAUAAAAAUCACAAUAAAAGCUGCUAGAAAUGGAUAUCAAUGAGUUUUUGGACAUGCAAUUUAGCAUGUCACCUUUGUACCACUUUAAUAUUAUUUAAAAAAUAAAAACCCAACCCUGCUGAGAAAUCUCACAAUGUCUUCUUUCACUCUCUAGAGUGUAUAUCAUUGAAGCCACCUAAUUUAUGGAAGACAUUGAAAUGAAGUGUACACUGGAGGGAUGGGCUCUAUGAAAGAUGGGCCCGCAGUUAAAGGCUAAGAGUAUGUGAAGAGAUUAAAAAAAAAAACAUUAAAGGCCCCUUUAAAAAGGAUAUGGAAACCUACUACUGUAGAAGCACAUGUAUGUAUAUAUGUAUGUUUAUGUGUGCUAUAUAUUUUUGAAAUAUUUUAUUAAAUUAAUAUAUACAUAUAUACGUAUAUAUUUAAAAUGAUGUUAUCCUAAUAAUAGGCAACAAUACCCUUACUAGACACCACAUGCUAAACCUAAAAAGGCCAGUACCAAGAAUGGUUACUUCUUUUGAGUUGUUGGACAGUGAAGUCCUAUACACCCCCAACCAAACAUUACAGGCUAUUGCCAUUGCUCAUGAUUGCCUUCCAGAGCUUGAAAGUAAAAUUCUACUGCUAAAGACACUACAUAUUUAAAUCACAGAACAUGGAGAAACAAAGCUGGUAUUGACCCAGAGGUUUCAUCCUACUGAAUAGCUUACAUUGUUCUGGAAAGGGCUAUAAAUGCUAUCAGAGAAGAAAAAUAAUCUUCAAUUAGACCCAGCUUUAAACCAUGCAAGUUACAAUCAUGG